rnacentral:rRNA from 1 species
UAAUAUAUCGGAACGUACCCUGGAGUGGGGGAUAACGUAGCGAAAGUUACGCUAAUACCGCAUACGAUCUAAGGAUGAAAGUGGGGGAUCGCAAGACCUCAUGCUCGUGGAGCGGCCGAUAUCUGAUUAGCUAGUUGGUAGGGUAAAAGCCUACCAAGGCNUCGAUCAGUAGCUGGUCUGAGAGGACGUCCAGCCACACUGGAACUGAGACACGGUCCAGACUCCUACGGGAGGCAGCAGUGGGGAAUUUUGGACAAUGGGCGAAAGCCUGAUCCAGCAAUGCCGCGUGAGUGAAGAAGGCCUUCGGNUUGUAAAGCUCUUUUGUCAG